GAUGAACGCUAGCGGCAGGCCUAAUACAUGCAAGUCGAACGGUGUCUUCGGACAUAGUGGCGCACGGGUGCGUAACACGUAUGCAACCUACCUUACAUUGGGGGAUAGCCUUUCGAAAGGGAGAUUAAUACCGCAUAAGACAGUAGCUGGGCAUCCAGCAGCUGUUAAAGAUUUAUCGAUGUAAGCUGGGCAUGCGUCCAAUUAGCUAGUUGGUGAGGUAACGGCUCACCAAGGCAAUGAUUGGUAGGUGAACUGAGAGGUCAAUCCCCCACACUGGCACUGAGAUACGGGCCAGACUCCUACGGGAGGCAGCAGUAGGGAAUAUUGGGCAAUGGACGCAAGUCUGACCCAGCCAUGCCGCGUGCAGGAUGAAGGCGUUAUGCGUUGUAAACUGCUCUUAUACAGGAAGAAACGACUCUUGCGAGAGGCAUUGACGGUACUGUAUGAAUAAGCACCGGUUAACUCCGUGCCAGCCGCCGCCGUAAAAC
rnacentral:rRNA from 1 species